rnacentral:lncRNA from 1 species
CAAAAAAAUUGCAAGUGGCCAAUAUGCACAUGAAAAUGAUGUUGAGCAUCAUUAGUCAUUAGGGAAAUACAAUUCAAAACUACAAUGAGCUACCUACCACUUUACCACUUCACACCUUCUGGGAUAGCUAUAAAACCAACAGCAAGAAAUAGAAAAUAACAGGUGUUGGCAAGGAUGUGGAGAAGUUGGAAUGCUCAUGUAUUGCUGGUAGGAACAUAAAUGCUGCUGUGGAAAAGAGCUUGGCUGUUCCUCAAUAGGUGAAACAUAGGAUUACCAUGUAAGUCAGAAAUUCCACUCUUAGGUAAAAAAAUUACACAUGAAUGUUCAUAGCCAAAAGAUGGAAACAACUUAAAUGUCCAUCAGGUGAUAAAUGGAUAAACAAAAUGUGGUAUAUAUAUCCAUAUGAUGGAACACUUCUUAUUCCAGUGUGCUAUAACACGGAUGAACCCAGCAAAUAUGCUUAGUGAAAGAAGCCCGACACAAAAGGCCUGUAUUGUAUGAUUAUGUUCAUCUGAAAUAUCCAGAAUAGGUAAAUCCAUAGAAAUAGAAAGCAUAUUCAUAGUUGCCAUGGGCUGGGAGAAGGAGAGAAAUGGGCAUGACUGCUUAAAGAUUAUGAGGUUUCCUUUUGUGAUGCUGAAAGUGUUCUGGAAUUAGAUAGUGGUGAAGAUUACACAGUACUGUGAACGUACUAAAUGCCACUGAAUUGUACACUUUAAAAUAGUUAAAAUGAUGAAAUUUAUGUUAUGUGAAUUUUACUAUAAUAAAAAAGCACAUUACAAAAUAAUAGGUAUAGUUAGUUUUGUUUUUCCAGAUGUAUAUGCAUAGGAAGAAAAGUGAGAAAGAUAAAUAUCAAUCUAUUCUGUUUGUUUAUGGUGUCAUUUAGGACUAAUGUUCUAAUUUUUCUACAAUAAUCCUAGAUUACUUGAGCCCUUUUAAAAACAUGCUCUAGAGUUAAGGAUCCAGCAUUGCCAAGGUGUAGGUCGCAGAUGUGGCUUAGAUCCAGUGUUGCCAUGGCUGUGGUGUAGACCUGUAGCUGCAGCUCCAAUUUGACCCCUAGCCUGAGAACUUCCAUAUGCCACAGGUGCAGCCAUAAAAACAAAACAAAACAAAACAUGCUGUAGAACAAUAUUUAAUGAAAUAGAGGAAUGUUCAUCAUAUAUUCAUAUAUUAUUUAAUCAAACCAGUAUACUUGUUUUUUAAAAACACUCAAUUUUUUAAGAGCAAUUUUAGGUUUACCACAAAACCAAGAGGGAGGUACAGAGGUUUCCCAUAUACUCCCUGCCCAACACAUGCAUAGCUUCCUCCAUUAUUAACAUCAUUCACCAGAAUGGUACUUUUUUUUAAUGGUGACAGAUGUUAACUAGAUUUGUUGUGAUCAUUUAGCAAUAUAUACAAAUAUUGAAUCAUUAGGCUGUACAGCUGUAACUAAUAUAUUGUUAUGUCAGUUAUACCUCAAAUUCUUUCUUAUUUUUAAUUUUUAUUUAUUUUUAAAAGGAAUUUAUUUUCUUUUUUCUUUUUUUUAGGGUCGCACCUGCAGCAUUUGGAGGUUCCCGGCCUAGGAAUCGAAUUGGAGCCAUAGCUGCCGGCCUAUGCCACAGCCAUGGCAACAUCAAAUCCCAGCCACAUCUGUCACCUACACUACAGCUUGUGGCAAUGCCAGAUCCUUUAACCCACUGAGCAAGGCUGGGGAUUGAACCCACAUCCUUGUGGAUACUAGUUGGGUUAUUAACCCACUGAGGCACAAUGGGAAUUAGAUGGGAAUUCCUUUUUUAUUGAAGUAUAAUUGAUGUAUAAUACUAUAUAAAUUAUAAGUGUACAAUAUAGUAAUUUACAAUUUGAAAGUUUAUAUUCUAUUUAUAGUUACUAUAAAAUAUUCUCAAUAUUCCCUGUGUAGUACAAUAUUACCUUGUAUUUUAUACCUAAUAGUUUGUACCUCUUAAUCCCCUAACCUAUCUUGCCCCUCUCCUCUUCCCUCUCCCCUGUGGUAAUUCCUAGUUUGUUUUCCAUGUCUGUGAGUCUGGUUCUUUUCUGUUAUUUUUACUACUUUUGUUGUAUUUUUUAGAUUCCACAUAUAAAUAAUAUCAUGCAGUAUUUAUCUUUCUCUGCUUGACUUAUUUCACUCAGCAUAAUGCCCUCCAAAUCCAUUCGUGUUGCAGCAAAUGACAAAUUUUUAUUUUUAUUUUUUAUGGCUGAGUAGUAUCCCAUUAUAUAUAUCACAUCUUUAUCCAUUCAUCUGUUGAUGGACACUUAGUUUGCUUCUGUAUCUUGGAAAUUACAAAUAAUGCUGCUAUGAACAUUAGGAUGCAUCCAAACCAGCAUAUUUGAAUGAUCCCAAUUUUAUUGUAAAAACACAUAUACUGCAUGGGACAAAAACCAAUUGGAAGUAUAUAUGUCAACAUAUUAAUGGCUUAAUGGCUAUACUUCAAUGGGGUGAUUAUAGGUGAAUUUCACUUACUUUUCUUUUUUGGCCACCGCACGGCAUAUGGAAUUCAUGGGAUAGGAAGAACAGAGCCAAGCCACAGCUAUGGCAACUUGGGAUCCUUAACCCACUGUGCUGGGCCAGGGAUAGAACCUGCAUCUCAGCACUCCAGAGACGCUGCCGAUCCCAUUGUGCCACAGUAGGAACUCCAAUUUUAUUAACUUUUUAAAAACACAUUUUCAAAAUUCUUCCAGUAAAUAUACAUGUAAAAUCUUCACAAUCUGAGUUUUAAGUAGAACUUUAACAUUUUCCUGCAGGAGACAUGAGCAUCACAGUAGUAUGAUAAGCUCCCUUUGUCUCUCCCCUUCAAUCUAUAACUAGUAAAACAUCCAUAACUCAAGAAAAGUUCCCCACCCAACACACCAGGAUGAUGGAGAUAUCUACACAUCUGUACAUGUGAAGGCAGAUUGGCUUGGAACACAUAGAGGAGGUGGAAGGGGAGAGAAACAGCAGAGGCUGUGCGUAUAUUCCUAGCCCCCUAGCUGCAGCAGCUAAACUUGGAAUUCCAGAGAGCCCAGUGGCAGGAGGAGAAGCAGCAGACAUGACUUCAGCCUCCUGGCCACAUCAGUAUCUAUGGGCAUAGGAAACUGGCCAGCUGCACUGAUGUGACCAAGACUUCAGAACCUCUAACUGUGGUGGUACCCACAACACUCUUCCCCAGUUCAUCCACCGUAGCAGAGCCUUCAAGCCAUACAAAGCCAGACAUGGUGGAGGUGCCCAUGACCCUAGCUGCCCCAACCCAUUCCCUCCCCUCACUGCAGUGACAAUGCCUGCAACCCAGGCAACCUUGGAUAUGGCAAAGGUGCCCACCAUCCCAGGGCCCCUGCUGGCUACUCUAGCAACAGCAGCAUCACAAGCAGCAGCAAGGCACCAAUAAUCCCAGGAAUGCAAUCCGCUAUAUAACAAGGUCUCAAAUGAUACCUCUAGCAGAGGCAGUGGAGGAUGGAAGGUGCUGAUUCUUAAAUAUAGCCACAGCAGCUCAGGUAAGAGAAACCAAAAACUUGUACUAUAGCUCCACCUACUGAAAAAUAAAAGAAAGGUCUUCUAGUGAUCAAUCUGUUAAAUUGUUAAAAUCGAAGUAAACAAAGCUUUACCUAAAUAAGCAAGGUGUUCACUACUUUAAAUGCACUAGUAGAGACCAAAUCAUCAAGCACCAUUUAAAAAAUGGUAACCCAGUAUCACAAAAAGAAAAUGACAAUUGUACAGAAACUAAAGUCACAGAAGAUUGUAAUCUGUUAGAGAACUCAAAAUAGCUGCCGUGAAGAAACUCAACAAGCUACAAGAAAACACAGGAAAGGGAGUUCCCGUCGUGGCGCAGUGGUUAACGAAUCCGACUAGGAACCAUGAGGUUGCAGGUUCGAUCCCUGGCUUCACUCAGUGGGUUAAGGAUCUGGCAUUGCUGUGAGCUGUGGUGUAGGUUGCAGACACAGUUAGGAUCUGGCGUUUCUGUGCCUGUGGCGUAGGCCAGCAGCUACAGCUCUAAUUAAACCCCAGCCUGGGAAC